GCUAGCGUAGCUCAAUGGCAGAGCACUGGUUUUGUAAACCAGAAGUUGUGGGUUCGACUCCCACCGCUAGCU
rnacentral:tRNA from 1 species